GUUGUAGCCUUACAUUUAAAGGGAAAAUCUGUAAAUUUGAACUUAAUCUCCUCAUUAACUCUCUGCCAGAAAGAGAAGAAGUGAUUUUCUGAAAAUGCCACACCGUUUCUUUAAUGCCGCAUUUUGGAAUUGAAUCAGAACAAAAACAAAACACUCCAGGAGUGCCUCAGACAAACAAAUGGUAUUAAAAUAGAUGGAAAGUCUUAAAGCUAAAAAUGAAAAGGCGCAACCUUGAAAUUAUGCAACAUGGUGUCCUGUCUUUUUAGAACAGUAUGUACAGACAUCAAGAUUAGAUACAAUCACACACAGAGGCACUACUAUAUAAUGCCUGUGGAAAUAUAUAAAACAUCAACAUUUUCCUUAAUAUUUAAGAAAAAACUGCUGUGAAGUGAAAUAUGCGGCUUUCACUGUCUGUCUGUCUAAAAUCUUUAAACAAAAUGUAUGGGAGACUAAUAAAAAUUAGUCAAGGAAAGUUGAAGUUUGCAUAACUGUAUAAACAAACACCUGUGCUCGUUUGGGAGGCACCCAUAUAGAGCGGUUCUACCAAGAGAGAGAGAGAGAGAAAAAAAAGUCUAAACAUGACUAGACUGGUGGGAUGUUGGCCUGAAUCUGAUCCAGUCCAAAUUGCCCUGGCACAAAACAUGCAGUCUGGAGAAAAGGGAAAGGAUGCCUUAAAACUCCCCAAUCACUGACAGUCAUGCAGGAGCCUGCUUGUUACAUCUUUAGUUGUUUUUGGAUGUAGAUCAGUCUACUUGUAGUCCUCGAAAACAUUUUAAUAAUAAGUUACAGAUUCCAACUUAUUGGCAGGGGAUAUUCCUCGUGAAUAGUAAUAAAAUUAGCAAGCACAUAAACAUGUUCAGGUACUUAAGCAAAACAAACAAGAAAUCUAUAUCUCAAUUGCACAGAUUUAAUUAUAGACUCCAGUACCAUUAAGUCAUUCAGUGCACACUGCCUAUAUACAGUACAGUAUCAUCUCUAUGUAGUGUUUCAUCAUUUAUGUAACCUUGAGGAAUAAUGGACUUGCUUUGGCAUUUGAAAAAAAAAUCAAAUACAUUCGUAGUGCCGGUAGAAAAAUCUGUAAAUCGACAUAAAAACAACUCUUUUGUAAUUUUCAUAAUUCACAUAGCUUAACAUUAAAUUUAAUUAAAGUUAUGAGACUCUAAAUCCACAAGUUCUUCUAAAACAAACCUCAAGAGUAAACAAAACGAAAUCCUCAUCUGUAAAAUAAUUAGGAAUCCAUAAGACAGUAUUAAAAUUAGACAUUUAAACAUGACUUCAGUCCGCUCAGAUCACAUUUUGGUGGCGUUAUUUAACCUGGAAUGCAGUCAGUGUAUGGACCAUCACAUCAAGCCAAAGCAACAGGUCUGCUCCCUCUGCUACAUUCAUUACAAUCUUAAUAGAGGGCCACUGGUCCAAGCUUUCUGUUCCAGAGAGAAAUACAGAUGACGAAAAAAACACAGCUUGCUCUCCAGUUUCCUCUCAAUGACUCCAUUUACAUGCACACAGUACGGUCAUUUUUUAACAAUCUCAUUGUGUUAUUUGUCUAAACUUGUACUGAUGAUGAUGAUGAUGAUGAUCUUUUGUUACUGUUUGUAUGAAAAAGGAAAAAUUGUGGGCCCUGAUGAUUUAACCAGGGUUUUUUUUAACAUUAAUUGAAAUCUGAGUAAAACUUUAAUUGAACCUUAACUAGGAUAAUUAGGUGUUGUAUAUAUGCAGUGUAAGAGGAGCCUUCUAUAAACACUCAAUUUUUUUUAACUUGAGUGUUGUGCUUAGGAUUAAGCUCAUAAUCAAACAGAUGUCUCAAUUAAAUUGAUUAUAGUUUGCACAUAUUAAAAAAUAAAAUAAGACCAAUAAAAUGUGAGCAAGUCAGAACUCCAUGUGAAUGUUUAAAAGUGGCGGCUUUGCACAAUGACAGGAAUAAGAAAUGAAUUACGGGUAUACCGGAGAUAAAUUAUUGUUGCAGGAGCUGAGUAACAGGAGGUGAAUAAAUAUCGUCACUGGACAGAUGCCAAAGUCAACAACCACAGUUCAUCAGAUCGCAUUAAAAGUACACAAUCCAUCUAUGAUCAAACCAUUUGAUAAAGUCUGCACGUAAAUGUUGCGGUGGAGCGCUAACGCUCGUCUGAAUGACGGCAGAGCGAAGAGGGCCAGCGGUCGUCCAGUCGUCACAGCAUUCCAAGAUCUUUGUUUGGGUGCGUCUUUGUCUGAUGUGCUUUUGUUACUGCCUUUUCAAUGUGUGGUAGGAGACACAACAAAAAAAA